rnacentral:tRNA from 1 species
GGAGGGUACGCGAACGGUUAGCAGCCUGACUCGAAAUCAGGUGCCGGGCAACCGGUUGAGGGUUCGAAUCCCUUGCCCUCCGCUA